UUGGCUCUCAGUCAAGGCCAGCAGUUGGUUGAAGCUGUUGGUUUCAAGCAGGAGCCUAAAGAAAUGUCUUUCUGUGGUCUGUUGGCCAUUUCAGAACUUUGGAAAUGUAACAGUCAGUUCGUUAGAAAGGAACAUCA
rnacentral:snoRNA from 1 species